AAAUAUGCUGAGACUCGGACUUCAAAAUGGAUAAUUGAACUAUCUCGAUUGGAUAAAUCCGAUAAUCUACUCGUAUUAAUGUAAGAAUCUAUAUGUAUACGUUCACAGAGUAAAUUAAAAAAAAACUGUUAAGAGAAAAAGUUAAUCGUCGCUUGUUAAGUUUCUAAUCAAUCUCAGAGUAGAUGCGUAAUUUUGAACUAUGAUAUAGAUUAUAUGUUUUUAAUAUUACAUUAUAAAAUGUGUUUAUGUUUUAUUCUAGAAAGACAGACAAAUUAUAUUUUGUUUUUAAUUGCAAGUCAUUGUACACGUUUGUGUUUAUGAAGGCUGUCUUAUUAAGAUCAUUAGGGAAAUUAAUACGACAUAAACAUUGUGUUAUUGAAAAAGUUAUAUGUAUACUGCCAAAAAAGAGGUAAAAGGAACCAGAGGGAUAUUAUUAGUCUACAAAAAAGGAAGAAGAAAAAAGUUGGGGCUAAAAACGAUAAACAGACUACAUAGACUACAAUGUAACAGACAAUAAUAAGUAAGAAAUAAAUAUAGAGAAGAGGACGAAAGAUACCAGAGGGACAGUUACACUCACAGAUCGAAAACAACCCGACAACGCCAUGGCUAAAAAAGAAAAAAGACGAACAGACAUAUAAUAGAACAAAAUACACAUAAUACACAACAUAUACAACUAAAGACUGACCAAC
rnacentral:lncRNA from 1 species